rnacentral:rRNA from 1 species
GCAGGCGGUUUGUUAAGUCAGAUGUGAAAGCCCGGGGCUCAACCUCGGAACCGCAUUUGAAACUGGCAGGCUAGAGUCUUGUAGAGGGGGGUAGAAUUUCAGGUGUAGCGGUGAAAUGCGUAGAGAUCUGAAGGAAUACCAGUGGCGAAGGCGGCCCCCUGGACAAAGACUGACGCUCAGAUGCGAAAGCGUGGGUAGCAAACAGGAUUAGAUACCCUGGUAGUCCACGCCGUAAACGCUGUCUACUUGGAGGUUGAGGUUUAAGACUUUGGCUUUCGGCGCUAACGCAUUAAGUAGACCGCCUGGGGAGUACGGCCGCAAGGUUAAAACUCAAAUGAAUUGACGGGGGCCCGCACAAGCGGUGGAGCAUGUGGUUUAAUUCGAUGCAACGCGAAGAACCUUACCUACUCUUGACAUCCAGCGAAGCCUUUAGAGAUAGAGGCGUGCCUUCGGGAGCGCUGAGACAGGUGCUGCAUGGCUGUCGUCAGCUCGUGUUGUGAAAUGUUGGGUUAAGUCCCGCAACGAGCGCAACCCUUAUCCUUGUUUGCCAGCACAUAAUGGUGGGAACUCCAGGGAGACUGCCGGUGAUAAACCGGAGGAAGGUGGGGACGACGUCAAGUCAUCAUGGCCCUUACGAGUAGGGCUACACACGUGCUACAAUGGCAGAUACAGAGGGCAGCGAGACAGCGAUGUUUAGCGAAUCCCUUAAAGUUUGUCGUAGUCCGGAUUGGAGUCUGCAACU